UCAGGCUACAACUGACGUGGCGUGAGAAGAGAUUGCAACAAUAGCAAAUUGGGUUGGAUUUUAAAGAAGAAGAAAAAGGUGACCAUUGAAAAUUUUUAUUUUUUUGGGGGAUAUUUAUGUACGAUUAUAACAGCCGGGGCUUUCGAAGGGAUAUAUUCGUGAUGGCACAAUUGACAUUUUACUUAUUUACUGUUGAAAAAAAUAAAUAGUUCUCCAACAGUAACAAAUAAGAGGAAAAAAUAUAAAUAUCACUAUACUUUUAUAAGAAUAAUAUAAAAAAGUUAAAAUUUGUAUGGAUAUAUUUGUAAUUCACUAUAUUUAUAAAGAAUUGUAUGUAAUUAAUCCUAAAUUAUAAAUAAUAUGCAUAC
rnacentral:lncRNA from 1 species